GCUGGGUAUGGUGGUACACACCUGUAAUCCCAGCAGCUCGGGAGGCUGAGACAGGAGGAUUAUGAGUUCAAAGCCAGCCUCAGCAAUGCUGAGGCACUAAGCAACUCAGUGAGAACCUGUCUCUA
rnacentral:sRNA from 1 species